rnacentral:rRNA from 1 species
GUGCCAGCAGCCGCGGUAAUACGGAGGAUCCAAGCGUUAUCCGGAAUCAUUGGGUUUAAAGGGUCCGUAGGCGGUUUAAUAAGUCAGUGGUGAAAUCCCGUCGCUCAACGAUGGAACUGCCAUUGAUACUGUUAGACUUGAAUUAUUGGGAAGUAACUAGAAUAUGUAGUGUAGCGGUGAAAUGCUUAGAUAUUACAUGGAAUACCAAUUGCGAAGGCAGGUUACUACCAAUAUAUUGACGCUGAUGGACGAAAGCGUGGGGAGCGAACAGGAUUAGAUACCCGUGUAGUCC